rnacentral:tRNA from 1 species
GCACCCAUGGCGGAACUGGCAGACGCGCUAGAUUCAGGUUCUAGUCGGCAAUACGCCGGUGGAGGUUCAAGUCCUCUUGGGUGCACCA